UUUGUCCACUAAUUAUGGACCUGUAUGAAAGGCCACAUGAGAAUCUAACUGUCUCUUGUAACUAAUUUAUAAAACUGAUCUUCCAGUCCAAAAGCUGGAAUUCCGCUAUAAGACGAGAAGACCCUGUGAAGCUUUAAAAAUCCUAUUAAACUAAUUAAUGGGUAUUUUUAGUUGGGGCAACUUUGGAAAACAACACAACUUCCAAAAAGGAAAUAUUCCUCACAAAGACCUACAAGUCAACAAAGACCCAGUAUAACUGAUAAAUGAACCAAGUUACUCCAGGGAUAACAGCGCAAUCUUCUUCAAGAGCCCAUAUCAAAAAGAAGGUUUACGACCUCGAUGUUGGAUCAGGACACCCAAAUGGUGCAGCCGCUAUUAAAGGUUCGUUUGUUCAACGAUUAACAGU
rnacentral:rRNA from 1 species